GAUGAACGCUGGCGGCGUGCCUAAUACAUGCAAGUCGAGCGAACAGACGAGGAGCUUGCUCCUCUGACGUUAGCGGCGGACGGGUGAGUAACACGUGGAUAACCUACCUAUAAGACUGGGAUAACUUCGGGAAACCGGAGCUAAUACCGGAUAAUAUAUUGAACCGCAUGGUUCAAUAGUGAAAGACGGUUUUGCUGUCACUUAUAGCUGGAUCCGCGCCGCAUUAGCUAGUUGGUAAGGUAACGGCUUACCAAGGCAACGAUGCGUAGCCGAACUGAGAGGGGGGUACGCCCCACCGGAACUUGAGACCGGACCCAGCGCCUAAGGGAGGCAGCAGUAGGGAAUCUUCCGCAAUGGGCGAAAGCUUGACGGAGCAACGCUGCGUGAGUGAUGAAGGUCUUCGGAUCGUAAAACUCUGUUAUUAGGGAAGAACAAAUGUGUAAGUAACUAUGCACGUCUUGACGGUACCUAAUCAGAAAGCCACGGCUAACUACGUG
rnacentral:rRNA from 1 species